rnacentral:rRNA from 1 species
UACAUGGGGUGCAAACGUUGCUCGGAAUUAUUGGGCGUAAAGCGCGCGUAGGCGGUUACUCAACUCGGAUGUGAAAGCCCUCGGCUUAACUGAGGAAGUGCACCCGAAACUGAGUAGCUAGAGUACUAAAGAGGGUCGCGGAAUUCCCGGUGUAGAGGUGAAAUUCGUAGAUAUCGGGAGGAACACCGGUGGCGAAGGCGGCGACCUGGGUAGAUACUGACGCUGAGGCGCGAAAGCGUGGGGAGCAAACAGG